rnacentral:rRNA from 1 species
UCCUACGGGGCGCAGCAGUGGGGAAUAUUGCCCAAUGGGGGAAACCCUGAUGCAGCGACGCCGCGUGAGUGAAGAAGUAUUUCGGUAUGUAAAGCUCUAUCAGCAGGGAAGAAAAUGACGGUACCUGACUAAGAAGCCCCGGCUAACUACGUGCCAGCAGCCGCGGUAAUACGUAGGGGGCAAGCGUUAUCCGGAUUUACUGGGUGUAAAGGGAGCGUAGACGGCAGAGCAAGUCUGAAGUGAAAGCUCGCGGCCCAACUGCGGGACUGCUUUGGAAACUGCCCGGCUCG